AGUGAUUCUGGUUCCGGCGCAACAAAGGGGACAAAAUCCAAUCUGUUUGAAAGGGAUACAAAUGGCCGUCCUUUAACAGAUGGCCUGCUGUCCAUGUCAGCUGGCAGACUCCUUAUUCUCCCUGGCUCCCAAGCUGACCCUGCUGAUCCUAACAUCUGCACUGAUGUGUGAUGUUCAUACUGUGGAUCACGUCAAUUUAUGAUAUGCUCAGGUUUCCCAGAGGCUGGAGCACAACAAUAUUCAAUCAGGAACCACACAGCAACAGCAGCAGCGAUGAGGACGAGAGCGAGAACCACCACAACAACCGCGAUGAUGACAGUCAUGUUAUUCUCUUCAUUGGUCCUGAUGUCUGCUUUGUCCAGUUUGGUGACGAUGUCCUCCUUCACACCUGAGAGCUGAAACACACAGGUGUACCUGCUCCAGUCUUCAGGUGUGACUGAUGAAAGCUUCAGCUCAGCACUCAUCUGGAAGGUUCCAUC